rnacentral:tmRNA from 1 species
GGGGGCGACUGGCUUCGACGGGACGGUCUGAAUCCGGGUGAAGCAUGCCGAGCUCUAUCUCCUCGUAAAUCAGAUAGACAAAAACAGUCGGCAACGACUACGAUUACGCCCUGGCCGCUUAAGCCGGCCAGCGUCUUUCAGGCUUUCUCCUGCGGGGCCUGAAGGACGACACUCAGCAGGAUGGCUUCCGGGGCUCUGUCCGAAGGACCUGGGAGCGAGACUCAACCGGGCUGGCUUUCCGGAAUUCAUGCCUUAAGGGGGCCGGAGAGCGAGACUUACCCUGACAGGAUAAGCAUGUAGAAGAACCGGAUAAGCGUUGCCGGACGCGGGUUCGAUUCCCGCCGCCUCCACCA